rnacentral:rRNA from 1 species
AGUGAACGCUGGCGGUAGGCCUAACACAUGCAAGUCGAACGGCAGCACAGUAAGAGCUUGCUCUUACGGGUGGCGAGUGGCGGACGGGUGAGGAAUACAUCGGAAUCUACUUUUUCGUGGGGGAUAACGUAGGGAAACUUACGCUAAUACCGCAUACGACCUACGGGUGAAAGCAGGGGAUCUUCGGACCUUGCGCGAUUGAAUGAGCCGAUGUCGGAUUAGCUAGUUGGCGGGGUAAAGGCCCACCAAGGCGACGAUCCGUAGCUGGUCUGAGAGGAUGAUCAGACACACUGGAACUGAGACACGGUCCAGACUCCUACGGGAGGCAGCAGUGGGGAAUCUUGGGCAAGGGGCGAAAGCCUGAUCCAGCCAUACCGCGUGGGUGAAGAAGGCCUUCGGGUUGUAAAGCCCUUUUGUUGGGAAAGAAAAGCAGCAGGUUAAUACCCCGCUGUUCUGACGGUACCCAAAGAAUAAGCACCGGCUAACUUCGUG